UACGGAGGAUCCGAGCGUUAUCCGGAUUUAUUGGGUUUAAAGGGUGCGUAGGCGGGACCAUAAGUCAGCGGUGAAAGUUUUCGGCUCAACCGGAAAAUUGCCGUUGAAACUGUGGUUCUUGAGUGCAGAAGAGGUAGGCGGAAUUCGUUGUGUAGCGGUGAAAUGCGUAGAUAUAACGAAGAACACCAAUUGCGCAGGCAGCUUACCGUACUGCAACUGACGCUGAGGCACGAAAGUGUGGGUAUCAAACAGGAUUAGAUACCCCGGUAGUCCCUGAGCGGG
rnacentral:rRNA from 1 species